rnacentral:rRNA from 1 species
AGAGUUUGAUCCUGGCUCAGGAUGAACGCUAGCGGCAGGCUUAACACAUGCAAGUCGAGGGGCAUCGGGAGGGAAGCUUGCUUUCCUUGCCGGCGACCGGCGCACGGGUGAGUAACACGUAUGCAACCUGCCCUCUUCAGGGGGACAACCUUCCGAAAGGGAGGCUAAUCCCGCGUAUAUCGGUUUCGGGCAUCCGAGAUCGAGGAAAGAUUCAUCGGAAGAGGAUGGGCAUGCGGCGCAUUAGCUAGACGGCGGGGUAACGGCCCACUGUGGCGACGAUGCGUAGGGGUUCUGAGAGGAAGGUCCCCCACACUGGUACUGAGACACGGACCAGACUCCUACGGGAGGCAGCAGUGAGGAAUAUUGGUCAAUGGGAGAGAUCCUGAACCAGCCAAGCCGCGUGAGGGAAGACGGCCCUAUGGGUUGUAAACCUCUUUUGUCGGAGAACAAAACCCGGGACGAGUCCCGGACUGCGUGUAUCCGAAGAAAAAGCAUCGGCUAACUCCGUGCCAGCAGCCGCGGUAAUACGGAGGAUGCGAGCGUUAUCCGGAUUUAUUGGGUUUAAAGGGUGCGUAGGCGGUCCGUUAAGUCAGCGGUAAAAUUGCGGGGCUCAACCCCGUCGAGCCGUUGAAACUGGCAGACUUGAGUUGGCGAGAAGUACGCGGAAUGCGCGGUGUAGCGGUGAAAUGCAUAGAUAUCGCGCAGAACUCCGAUUGCGAAGGCAGCGUACCGGCGCCAGACUGACGCUGAGGCACGAAAGCGUGGGGAUCGAACAGGAUUAGAUACCCUGGUAGUCCACGCAGUAAACGAUGAAUGCUGGUUGUCCGGGUCGAAUGAGACCUGGGCGGCGAAGCGAAAGCGAUAAGCAUUCCACCUGGGGAGUACGCCGGCAACGGUGAAACUCAAAGGAAUUGACGGGGGCCCGCACAAGCGGAGGAACAUGUGGUUUAAUUCGAUGAUACGCGAGGAACCUUACCCGGGCUCAAACGGGAGUGGAAUGGACCAGAGACGGUUCAGCCUACGGGCCGCUUCCGAGGUGCUGCAUGGUUGUCGUCAGCUCGUGCCGUGAGGUGUCGGCUUAAGUGCCAUAACGAGCGCAACCCCCGCCGGCAGUUGCUAACGGGCAAUGCCGAGGACUCUGCCGGGACUGCCGCCGCAAGGCGUGAGGAAGGCGGGGAUGACGUCAAAUCAGCACGGCCCUUACGUCCGGGGCGACACACGUGUUACAAUGGGCGGUACAGCGGGAAGCCAGGCGGCGACGCCGAGCGGAACCCGAAAGCCGUUCUCAGUUCGGAUCGGAGUCUGCAACCCGACUCCGUGAAGCUGGAUUCGCUAGUAAUCGCGCAUCAGCCAUGGCGCGGUGAAUACGUUCCCGGGCCUUGUACUCACCGCCCGUCA